AAUUGGAGGGCAAGUCUGGUGCCAGCAGCCGCGGUAAUUCCAGCUCCAAUAGCGUAUAUUAAAGUUGUUGCAGUUAAAAAGCUCGUAGUUGAAUUUCGGGGUUAGUAGGUUGGUCAUGUCUCCGGUAUGUACUGAUCUCACUGAUUCCUCCUUCCUUAUGAACCGUAAUGCCAUUAAUUUGGUGUUGCGGGGAAUUUGGACUGUUACUUUGAAAAAAUUAGAGUGUUUAAAGCAAGCUAACGCUUGAAUACAUUAGCAUGGAAUAAUGAAAUAGGACGUUCGAUCUUAUUUUGUUGGUUUCUAGGAUUGACGUAAUGAUUAAUAGGGAUAGUUGGGGGCAUUAGUAUUCAAUUGUCAGAGGUGAAAUUCUUGGAUUUAUUGAAGACUAACUACUGCGAAAGCAUUUGCCAAGGAUGUUUUCAUUAAUCAAGAACGAAAGUUAGGGGAUCGAAGACGAUCAGAUACCGUCGUAGUCUUAACCAUAAACUAUGCCGACUAGGGAUCGGAUGAUGUUAAUUUUUUAAUGACUCAUUCGGCGCCUUACGGGAAACCAAAGUGU
rnacentral:rRNA from 1 species